GGGGUGCAGCAGGCGCGAAAACUUUACAAUGCUGGCAACAGCGAUAAGGGGACCUCGAGUGCCAGGAUACAAUCUUGGCUGUCGCGAUGCCUAAAAAGCAUUGCAUAGCAAGGGCCGGGCAAGACCGGUGCCAGCCGCCGCGGUAACACCGGCGGCUCGAGUGGUAACCGCUAUUAUUGGGUCUAAAGGGUCUGUAGCCGGCCGGAUAAGUCUUUUGGGAAAUCCAGCUGCUCAACAGUUGGGCUUUCAGAAGAUACUGUUCGGCUCGAGACCGGGAGAGGUGAGAGGUACUUCAGGGGUAGGGGUGAAAUCUUGUAAUCCUUGAAGGACCACCAGUGGCGAAGGCGUCUCACCAGAACGGAUCUGACGGCAAGGGACGAAAGCUAGGGGCACGAACCGGAUUAGAUACCCGGGUAGUCCUAGCCGUAAACGAUACUCGCUAGGUGUCAGCCACGGUGCGACCGUGGUUGGUGCCGUAGGGAAGCCGUGAAGCGAGCCACCUGGGAAGUACGGCCGCAAGGCUGAAACUUAAAGGAAUUGGCGGGGGAGCACAAGGGCGA
rnacentral:rRNA from 1 species